CUGCUGCCUCCCGUAGGAGUCUGGUCCGUGUCUCAGUACCAGUGUGGGGGACCUUCCUCUCAGAACCCCUAGACAUCGUCGCCUUGGUGGGCCGUUGCCCCGCCAACUAGCUAAUGUCACGCAUGCCCAUCCGUUGCCGGAAUCGCUCCCUUUGGCCGCAGGGCUAUGCAGCCCCGCGGCGUUACGCGGUAUUAGACGGGAUUUCUCCCGAUUAUCCCCCUGCAACGGGCAGGUCGCAUACGCGUUACUCACCCGUGCCG
rnacentral:rRNA from 1 species